rnacentral:lncRNA from 1 species
CCAUGAUGAUGUUUAAACACUCAGGAUAUUCCCUUCUUGUUUGCCUGCCUGUUUCCAGAGUUCUGUUACCAUGGGGUAUUUCCUAUUUAAUGACUCACAGGAGACUGGGUGACUGGUGGCUGGCACUGUGGGAUUAUGAAGAUGUGACUGUGGACUUUGCCCCUGACUUUUGUCAGUAAUUCAAUGCCAUGUGUGCUACAUUAUCUACCUGAGACUCAGAUUCUUAAUCUGUAAAAUUGAAAUAACUGAACUGUCCUCGAAAUUAAACAAAGCAAGAGAGGAGGGAAAAAAAAGACACACUGCUUGAUGGAAAUCAAAAUCAAUUUCCGAGUUUUUCACCACACAUACACAGGCCUCUGGCUACACAGAAAUGGUUUCUCCAUCUCCGGGUGUAUCAGUCAGUUCCAGCUACUGUAGUAAGACUAAUGCAGUGGCUUAAGCAGUAGAAACGGCUCAAGACUGGCAAGUCCAGGAAAAAGAAGCAAGCCGACUUGGAAAAAAGCUGUUUUCUGUUUUCUUAUGCCAUGGGGGGGGUUGGCAGAGAGAAGAAACAAGCUCAUUCCUAUCAUAUCCCAAGGACUCUACUCUCUGAGACUUAACUGGUUCCUCAAAGCCUGGG